rnacentral:RNase_P_RNA from 1 species
AGAGUCGACCGGGCAGUCGCUGUAUCGGAGGAGUCUUUUGGGCUUCGCGCCGUACAGAGGAAAGUCCGGGCUCCAUAGGGCAAAGCGCCAGGUAACGCCUGGGGGACGCGAGUCCACGGAAAGUGCCACAGAAAAUAUACCGCCCGCCGUUUUUACUUUCCUGAUCGUUUUUUCGAUGGGGAUAAGGAGGCGAGUAAGGGUGAAAAGGUGCGGUAAGAGCGCACCGCGCCUCGGGUAAUCGAGGUGGCAGGGUAAACCCCGCUCGGAGCAAGACCAAAUAGGGGAACCGGUGCAUGCCUUAGCGCUGCAACCAAGCGCGGCCCGCGUUGUUCCCGGGUAGGUCGCUGGAGGCAUGUGGCGACACAUGCCCAAGAUGGAUGACUGUCCUCGACAGAACCCGGCUUACAGGUCGACUCUUGUG